GUGUAUCUAUCUAUCUAUCUAUCUAUCUAUCUAUCUAUCUAUCUGUCUGUCAGUUAGGAUUUGUCUGGUGGAUAGAUAGGUAGACAGAUAUAUAGAUGGAUAGAUAGAUAGAUAGAUAUACAGAUAGA